rnacentral:rRNA from 1 species
AGUGAACGCUGGCGGUAUGCCUAACACAUGCAAGUCGAACGGCAGCACAGUAAGCGCUUGCUCUUACGGGUGGCGAGUGGCGGACGGGUGAGGCAUACAUCGGAAUCUACUUUUUCGUGGGGGAUAACGUAGGGAAACUUACCCUAAUACCGCAUACGACCUACGGGUGAAAGCAGGGGAUCUUCGGACCUUGCGCGAUUGAAUGAGCCGAUGUCGGAUUAGCUAGUUGGCGGGGUAAAGGCCCACCAAGGCGACGAUCCGUAGCUGGUCUGAGAGGAUGAUCAGCCACACUGGAACUGAGACACGGUCCAGACUACUACGGGAGGCAGCAGUGGGGAAUAUUGGACAGUGGGCGCAAGCCUGAUCCAGCCAUACCGCGUGGGUGAAGAAGGCCUUCGGGUUGUAAAGCCCUUUUGUUGGGAAAGAAAAGCAGCAGGUUAAUACCCCGCUGUUCUGACGGUACCCAAAGAAUAAGCACCGGCUAACUUCGUG